rnacentral:rRNA from 1 species
UACGAAGGGGGCUAGCGUUGUUCGGAAUUACUGGGCGUAAAGGGCGCGUAGGCGGUGUGUCAAGUCAGGCGUGAAAGCCCCGGGCUCAACCUGGGAACCGCGCUUGAGACUGGCACGCUAGAGUUCGGGAGAGGAUGGUGGAAUUCCCAGUGUAGAGGUGAAAUUCGUAGAUAUUGGGAAGAACACCGAUGGCGAAGGCAGCCAUCUGGACCGACACUGACGCUGAGGCGGCGAAAGCGUGGGGAGCAAACAGG